UACGUAGGUGGCAAGCGUUGUCCGGAUUUACUGGGCGUAAAGGGUGCGUAGGCGGCGCGGAAAGUUGGGUGUGAAAUCCCUCGGCUUAACCGAGGAAUGGCGCUCAAAACUACCGUGCUUGAGGAAGACAGGGGUGAGCGGAACUUAGGGUGGAGCGGUGAAAUGCGUUGAUAUCCUAAGGAACACCGGUGGCGAAAGCGGCUCACUGGGUCUUUUCUGACGCUGAGGCACGAAAGCCAGGGUAGCGAACGGG
rnacentral:rRNA from 1 species